GGCGAGAUGGCCGAGCGGUCUAAGGCGUCAGACUAAGGAUCUGAUCCGAAAGGGCGUGGGUUCGAAUCCCACUCUCGUCA
rfam:Gloeophyllum trabeum ATCC 11539 unplaced genomic scaffold GLOTRscaffold_00005, whole genome shotgun sequence.